rnacentral:rRNA from 1 species
UACGGGGGGGGCUAGCGUUGUUCGGAAUUACUGGGCGUAAAGCGCGCGUAGGCGACUUGUUAAGUCGGAUGUGAAAUCCCUGGGCUCAACCUAGGCAUUGCAUUCGAUACUGGCAAGCUAGAGUAUGGGAGAGGAAGGUAGAAUUCCAGGUGUAGCGGUGAAAUGCGUAGAGAUCUGGAGGAAUACCGAUGGCGAAGGCAGCCUUCUGGCCUAAUACUGACGCUGAGGUGCGAAAGCAUGGGGAGCAAACAGG